UACGUAGGGUGCAAGCGUUGUCCGGAAUUAUUGGGCGUAAAGAGCUCGUAGGCGGUCUGUUGCGUCGGCUGUGAAAACCCGGGGCUAAACUCCGGGCCUGCAGCCGAUACGGGCAGACUAGAGUUCGGCAGGGGAGACUGGAAUUCCUGGUGUAGCGGUGAAAUGCGCAGAUAUCAGGAGGAACACCGGUGGCGAAGGCGGCAUCCUGGACCGGAAUUGACGCUGAGGCGCGAAAGCGUGGGGAGCAAACAGG
rnacentral:rRNA from 1 species